GCAGGGCUAUCCUCCUGGUGACUUCCACACCCAUGUAAUGAGAGAUUAUCCUGUUGCAAGUACAGUGCCUCGUUUACCUUUUAUGGAAGAAAGUGUGGAAAAUUGACCACAGAUACAGGUAUCUCUGUUGUGCAGUGCGUGGACUUGGAAGACACAGCGCUUAAACAGAACAAAAGAAAAUUGCUACAAAUGAAAGCAAUAAAUCCCUGUUUUAUAAAGUCC